GUAUGUAGCUCAGUGGUAGAGUGCUUGCCUAGCACGUGUGCAGGACUAGGUUCGAUCCUCAGCACCACA
rnacentral:tRNA from 1 species